UACGGGGGGGGGUAAGCGUUGUUCGGAAUUACUGGGCGUAAAGGGCUCGUAGGCGGCCAACUAAGUCAGACGUGAAAUCCCUCAGCUUAACUGGGGAACUGCGUCUGAUACUGGAUGGCUUGGAUUCGGGAGAGGAAUGCGGAAUUCCAGGUGUAGCGGUGAAAUGCGUAGAUAUCUGGAGGAACACCGGUAGCGAAGGCGGCAUUCUGGACCGACAUUGACGCUGAGGAGCGAAAGCCAGGGGAGCAAACGGG
rnacentral:rRNA from 1 species